rnacentral:lncRNA from 1 species
UCGAAACUUGUUUUUGACAGAGCGGGACAUCCAAUUUAAAAUAAAAACUUCGAGUUCGUCAGCGAAAAACUUAAACCCUCUUAAUCGCCACCAUCAAAUUGAAUUGCCUCGUGCUUACGUCUAUGACAUUCUUUAGUUAGAGAGGUUGUUUGAAGUCAGUUUGUUUCGAAACAGAUCUUCUAGUCAAAUCUUUGAUUUGGAAUUGCUGACUACUUUCUCUCUAUUAGUGUAAAAUUUUCUGAAGCAAAAUAUGGUGUUCAAAGAUUAUGCACUAGAAAUCACAAGAAAGAAGCCACCUGAUGCGAUGACUCGAUUACCAGGUGUUACUUAAGAAAACUCCAUGAUUCUAACUGUAGUUCGGAAUUUAGUUUGUAUUGGUCUCAAGAAGAUAAAUACCCGGACAAUCUCUGUAGACUACAGAAGAAAGGACUGGUGCAGUCUUCUUGAGAAAGCCAGGGUCCAACCAGGACUGUCGAGAUACUGAUGAUAGGGUGGUCUAAAUCAGAGACCUUUCCAACCUAGAAAAUAAUUUGGAUGCCUCGAAUGCCGACAGUGCUAUGGGUAAGUACUAAUACUUGUGGAGAAUAAUUUUUAGUAUUUUUAUUUCCAUUUCUUGUAAUCUUUUUUCAAUUCCUUCUAUUAGUUCAC